rnacentral:rRNA from 1 species
UGGGGAAUAUUGGACAAUGGGCGCAAGCCUGAUCCAGCCAUGCCGCGUGAGUGAUGAAGGCCCUAGGGUUGUAAAGCUCUUUCACCGGUGAAGAUAAUGACGGUAACCGGAGAAGAAGCCCCGGCUAACUUCGUGCCAGCAGCCGCGGUAAUACGAAGGGGGCUAGCGUUGUUCGGAUUUACUGGGCGUAAAGCGCACGUAGGCGGACUUUUAAGUCAGGGGUGAAAUCCCAGGGCUCAACCUUGGAACUGCCUUUGAAACUCCUGGUCUUGAGGUCGAGAGAGGUGAGUGGAAUUCCGAGUGUAGAGGUGAAAUUCGUAGAUAUUCGGAGGAACACCAGUGGCGAAGGCGGCUCACUGGCUCGAUACUGACGCUGGGGUGCGAAAGCGUGGGGAGCAAACAGG